rnacentral:misc_RNA from 1 species
GUGAAUCAUCGAAUCUUUGAACGCAAAUUGCACUCUCUGGUAUUCCGGAGAGUAUGCCUGUUUGAGGGUCAGUUUAAAUAAAAUUCGUUUUGUUUCUUGCCUUCCGUGGUUCCGCACCGAUUUGGGUUCUCCUUGCCCUCGGUUAGGUGACCUAAAAUUUUGCAUGAUUUUUUUCGAACUUAUUUAAAUGAUUUAACUUACUUUUGAGAUAUCGAAUACAAGGGUUGGUCUUCUU